rnacentral:rRNA from 1 species
AUUGAACGCUGGCGGCAUGCCUUACACAUGCAAGUCGAACGGUAACGGGCCUUCGGGUGCCGACGAGUGGCGCACGGGUGAGUAAUACAUCGGAACGUGCCCGAUCGUGGGGGAUAACGAGGCGAAAGCUUUGCUAAUACCGCAUACGAUCUACGGAUGAAAGCAGGGGACCGCAAGGCCUUGCGCGGACGGAGCGGCCGAUGGCAGAUUAGGUAGUUGGUGGGAUAAAAGCUUACCAAGCCGACGAUCUGUAGCUGGUCUGAGAGGAUGAUCAGCCACACUGGGACUGAGACACGGCCCAGACUCCUACGGGAGGCAGCAGUGGGGAAUUUUGGACAAUGGGCGCAAGCCUGAUCCAGCCAUGCCGCGUGCAGGAUGAAGGCCUUCGGGUUGUAAACUGCUUUUGUACGGAACGAAAAGCCUUCUUUUAAUACAGGAGGGUCAUGACGGUACCGUAAGAAUAAGCACCGGCUAACUACGUG